rnacentral:rRNA from 1 species
CUCAACCCUGGAGCUGCAUUUGAAACUGUAAGACUUGAGUGCAGGAGAGGAAAGUGGAAUCCCCAGUGUAGCGGUGAAAUGCGUAGAUAUUGGGGGGAACACCAGUGGCGAAGGCGACUUUCUGGACUGUAACUGACGCUGAGGCGCGAAAGCGUGGGGAGCAAACAGGAUUAGAUACCCUGGUAGUCCACGCCGUAAACGAUGAGUGCUAGGUGUAGAGGGUAUCGACCCCUUCUGUGCCGCAGUUAACACAAUAAGCACUCCGCCUGGGGAGUACGGUCGCAAGACUGAAACCCAAAGGAAUUGACGGGGGCCCGCACAAGCAGCGGAGCAUGUGGUUUAAUUCGACGCAACGCGAAGAACCUUACCAGGACUUGACAUCCCUCGCUAUCUACUGAAAGGUGGAGUUCCCUUCGGGGACGAGGAGACAGGUGGUGCACGGUUGUCGUCAGCUCGUGUCGUGAGAUGUUGGGUUAAGUCCCGCAACGAGCGCAACCCUUGUCCUUAGUUGCCAGCGUAAAGUCGGGCACUCUAGGGAGACUGCCGGUGAUAAACCGGAGGAAGGUGGGGAUGACGUCAAAUCAUCAUGCCCCUUAUGUCCUGGGCUACACACGUGCUACAAUGGGCUGAACAGAGGGAAGCGAGACCGCGAGGUGGAGCCAAUCCCAUAAAACAGCUCUCAGUUCAGAUCGUAGGCUGCAACUCGCCUACGUGAAGAUGG